AGCGGGGCCCAUCCCGUAAGGCUAAAUACUCCCGAGAGACCGAUAGCGAACCAGUACUGUGAAGGAAAGGUGAAAAGAACCUCGAACAGAGGAGUGAAACAGACCCUGAAACCAUGCGCCUACAAGCGGUCGGAGCAUGUUAAAAUGUGACGGCGUGCCUUUUGCAUAAUGAACCUACGAGUUACUCUCGCUGGCAAGGUUAAGCGAUUCAGUCGCGUAGCCGAAGCGAAAGCAAGUCCGAAUAAGGCGUACAGUCAGCGGGAGUAGACGCGAAACCAAGUGAUCUACCCUUGGUCAGGUUGAAGGUUGGGUAACACCAACUGGAGGACCGCACCGAUAAGCGUUGAAAAGCUUACGGAUGAACUGAGGGUAGGAGUGAAAGGCCAAUCAAACUUGGAGAUAGCUCGUACUCCCCGAAAUGCAUUUAGGUGCAGCCUCGAAGCAAAGUGAUAGAGGUAGAGCGACUGAUAAGAUGCGAGGGCUUCACCGCCUAUCAAGUCUUGACAAACUCCGAAUACUAUCACUUGAUCUUCGGGAGUGAGGGCAUGGGUGCUAAGGUCCAUGUCCGAAAGAGGAACAACUCAGACCACCAGCUAAGGUCCCGAAAUAAGGGCUAAGUUGAACAAACGAAGUAAAACUGCAAAGACAGCUAGGAUGUUGGCUUGGAAGCAGCCAUUCAUUUAAAGAGUGCGUAACAGCUCACUAGUCGAGGAGUUUUGCAUGGAUAAUAAUCGGGCAUAAGCCCUUUACCGAAGCUGUGGAUGUCGCAAGACAUGGUAGGGGAGCAUUCCGGCGGCGACGAAGGCCGUCCUCGAGGACGACUGGAGCUUUCGGAAAAGCAAAUGUAGGUAUAAGUAACGAUAAAGGGGGCGCGAAACCCCCUCGCCAUAAGACUAAGGAUUCCUGAUCAACGCUAAUCGGAUCAGGGUAAGUCGGGCCCUAAGGCGCAGCCGAACGGCGUAGCCGAUGGAAGAAACGGUAAAGAUUCCGUUACUGGAUAUAGGAGCGAUGUGGAGACGGAGAAGUGACACACCCGCCUGCCGACGGAAGCGCAGGUUAAAGGAAGUAGGUAAACGCCGGGUAGGCAAAUCCGCCUGGCGUGCCGAAACUGACAGUAUCGAGAGCCCCCGGGCAAUCGAAUAGCGGUGGUAAUCAGGCUCCCAAGAAAAUCCGCUAAGCAUAUUCUAUAUUCACCCGUACCCCAAACGGACACACGUAGUCGGGUAGAAUAUACCAAGGCGCUCGAAAGACUCACGGUUAAGGAACUAGGCAAAUUGACCCUGUAACCUCGGGAAAAAGGGUCCCCAGUAAGAUGGGGCGCAGAGAAUAGGUCCAGGCAACUGUUUAACAAAAACACAGGGCUGUGCAAAAUUUAGAGAUGAAGUAUACAGCCUGACACCUGCCCGGUGCCGGAAGGUUAAGAGGAGAGCUCAUCGCAAGAGAAGGCUUGAAUUGAAGCCCCGGUAAACGGCGGCCGUAACUAUAACGGUCCUAAGGUAGCGAAAUUCCUUGUCGG
rnacentral:rRNA from 1 species